CAUUUUCCUUGCUACUGCUAUUCUUAAAAAUAGGAUGCUAAGGAUAGAGAAGAGGGAAGCAGAGGAGAGAUACAAAAGCAGCUGUCACUGUCUUGGGUGUAGCAGGAGAGGCCAGUGUUCAGGACUCUGCGGGAAGCGGAACACGGCCAGCAGAGGGCAGCAAAGCACGCCCGGCUGCGAGGACCCGCGGCGACCACGGCGAGACCCGGCAAGUGCAGAAGAGGAUGUCGAAAUAAAGGCCAGAGUCUCUAGUCUGCUGUUGACCAGUGUGGUUUGAUUUUUUGAUCUAUUAUACAAGCGAGCCCUUAAACUCGCUGAUGAACAGUUGCUAGAUGGAUACCUACUUAGGGGUUUCCUUGCCAAAGAAAAGUUUUGGGAUUUUUUCCCCCAGCAUUUGGAACUAUUUCCCGUGAUCCACUUCCAACAGCCCCAAGUCCAUGUCUGAAGAUGGCAAGUAUCUCCUCUAGGUUUUUAUUCUUCCCAUCAGUUCUUCUGUCUGCAAGACCAUAACUCCAUGGGAUAACCUUGAGAUGCCCUUUAAAGAUGAGUCAUCAACUAUAAGACCAC
rnacentral:lncRNA from 1 species